rnacentral:rRNA from 1 species
UGGGGAAUCUUGCACAAUGGGGGAAACCCUGAUCCAGCAAUGCCGCGUGAGUGAAGAAGGCCUUAGGGUUGUAAAGCUCUUUCGCCCGCGAAGAUAAUGACGGUAGCGGGAGAAGAAGCCCCGGCUAACUCCGUGCCAGCAGCCGCGGUAAUACGGAGGGGGCUAGCGUUGUUCGGAAUUACUGGGCGUAAAGCGUACGUAGGCGGAUGCGCAAGUUGGGGGUGAAAUCCCGGGGCUUAACCUCGGAAUUGCCCUCAAAACUGCACGUCUUGAGACCGAGAGAGGUCAGGGGAAUUCCUAGUGUAGAGGUGAAAUUCGUAGAUAUUAGGAAGAACACCAGUGGCGAAGGCGCCUUACUGGCUCGGUACUGACGCUGAGGUACGAAAGCGUGGGGAGCAAACA